rnacentral:pre_miRNA from 18 species
AGCCGCAUGCGAAGAUCCAUUAUUGCAUGCGGCUGCUUAGGACAGCCGCAUGCGAUAAUGGAUCUUCGCAUGCGGCU